UUGCUCAAGUAGCACAUUUAUUAAUAUUGGAAUGACACAGAGAAGAUUAGCCUAGCCCCCGUGCAAGAAUGACCCCAAAUGUAAAGCACACACACACACACAC